UACGUAGGGUGCGAGCGUUGUCCGGAAUUAUUGGGCGUAAAGGGCUCGUAGGCGGCCGACUAAGUCAGACGUGAAAUCCCCUCGGCUUAACCGGGGAACUGCGUCUGAUACUGGACGGCUUGAGUUCGGGAGAGGGAUGCGGAAUUCCAGGUGUAGCGGUGAAAUGCGUAGAUAUCUGGAGGAACACCGGUGGCGAAGGCGGCAUCCUGGACCGACACUGACGCUGAUGAGCGAAAGCCAGGGGAGCAAACGGG
rnacentral:rRNA from 1 species